CUAUAUUCUUUUUUUUUCUCAGAUCUGAAAAUGUCUUUAUUUUUUAGAAAAUGGAUUCCGGGAAGAUUAAAAAGCAAUACCAGAGGGCAUAGGUGCAGAACUGGAUGUAUGUAGUCAUUCAAAGCAUCCAAGUAAGAAUAUGGCAAUAUAAAUAUCCAAAAAGCAUCUCUUAGGUCUUCAAAACAAAAUGUUUAAGUAAUUCCUAACUAGUGAGCAGUACAGCAUUUCCUAGACGGGAGAAACAGUUAACAGUAAAGUCUUGAAAGCCUUUUCCUUGGUUAAUUACAUGUAGACAGUUUGGCUUUGAUCAAACUCCUUUAAACAUGGAUAACGGCAUUACACAGGUCCACUGUUAAAACAGACAUGUUGCAAAUUACUUGUGGUAUAAUGUGUUCCAACAAAGCUUAGAAAAUAAAGACGUUGAGUUGGCUUUGGACUAAGUUUUAAUAGUCAUCUCCUCUGCUGACAACUUCUUUACAGGUUGGGCGCAGCAGUAUGGUAUGUUCAAACUGUGCUGUGUAUGAUCCUUUAAUGUCACAGAGUGGUGGAUAUGGAUCUACAAUGCCCAAGUCACACAGGUUCUUCAGAGCCAUUAAGUAUUUACUUUCUCCCAAGCGAUCCAGCCACCUUCGGCAGAAGGCAAGGGUAUCAAAGUUUUCAUUGAUGACAUUCAACAAGUGUUUUGUCUCAAUGGCAUACACCUCUCCUUCCUCCAUUCUUGUAGCUUCCCCUCCUUUCACAAUGGGCACUGUUUUUCCAGCAUGAAUUCUAUAUGGCCCAAUUGAAUGUCCAUUUAAGUUACGUAUGGGUUUCACUUGGUAGGUCUUCCCAUCUAUUUCCACUUCAUAGGACUCCAUAACUUCUUGAAUGGCCUCGCCGACAUCACAGAGACGGAUGUCAAUCCCCGCACACUUUAUUCCAGUAUUGGUGGCAUCUUUUACAGCUUUUAAUAAUAUGUCAUAUUUGGGAUUAAAAGUAACAGUAAAAGCACAAUCAAUUAUUCUACCACUUAUAUGCGUUCCAAAGUCGAUCUUACAGAUGUCGUCGUACUGUAAGACUGUCGUGUCACCAGCAUUGGGAGUGUAAUGUGCAGCACAGUUGUUGAGAGAACACCCAGUAGGAAAGGCCAGGCCUGCAUUUAACCCAUUCUCCUUUAUGGGCUUUCGGGAACAGUCUUCCAACUUCUCACAUAUUUCUAUCAUUGUCAUCCCAGGCUUGAUCCAGCUCAUGACGUAUUUCCUAACUUGCCGGUGUGCUUCGGCAGCUUCUCGGAAGUCGUUCCAAAUCUCCUCACUAGCCUGGUCUAGCGCCUUUUUCUCUUCACUUGUGGUUCUCCAAGCAGCUGUCUGCCCAUCUUGGGUGGGUGGGUAUUCACACUCUUGUCCUUUGGGAAAUACACCAUUAGGAUACAGGUCACAUAUUGGAACUGAGGGAGGGUCUGUUUGAACUCUUGGUCCUCUCUUCUUCUUUUUCUUCUUCUUCCCAGCUGCACCAUCACCAUCACCAUCUCCAUCUUCAUCGUCAUCAUCUUUCUCUUUCUCCUCCAGUGCUUGUCUCUCCAACUGUUUUGCUACUUCGUCCACUGAGGUUCCCGAUUCUUUAUCAAGUUCUUGUUGCCCUGCUGACACAGCCCCUUUGCCCUUCUUCUUCUUCCGUCUUUUCUUCUUGGCGGCUUCCUCGGCCGUGCUGGAGGUUCCCUCUUCCCUGUCGUCUGGAUCCAGGUCGCCAUUCAGGUGGCCCCCGAAAGACGAUGCCUCUUCCACGCCCGCCAUGUUGCCUGAGAGGGAAAGAGAGAGAGAAGA
rnacentral:lncRNA from 1 species